CCUACGGGUGGCAGCAGUCGAGAAUCAUUCACAAUGGGGGAAACCCUGAUGGUGCGACGCCGCGUGGGGGAAUGAAGGUCUUCGGAUUGUAAACCCCUGUCAUGUGGGAGCAAAUUAAAAAGAUAGUACCACAAGAGGAAGAGACGGCUAACUCUGUGCCAGCAGCCGCGGUAAUACAGAGGUCUCAAGCGUUGUUCGGAAUCACUGGGCGUAAAGCGUGCGUAGGCUGUUUCGUAAGUCGUGUGUGAAAGGCGCGGGCUCAACCCGCGGACGGCACAUGAUACUGCGAGACUAGAGUAGUGGAGGGGGAACCGGAAUUCUCGGUGUAGCAGUGAAAUGCGUAGAUAUCGAGAGGAACACUCGUGGCGAAGGCGGGUUCCUGGACAUUAACUGACGCUGAGGCACGAAGGCCAGGGGAGCGAAAGGGAUUAGAUACCCUGGUAGUC
rnacentral:rRNA from 1 species